AAACAAUGUGCGCCACGGAAAGGAAAGCGAGUGCGAAGAACGCGCGAGGAUAUGCCCUAUUUACACCAACAUUCUAAUCACUUGUAGACAUCGCACCGAUCAUAGCAUUGAAUUCUCCGACGAAAUUAACGAUUGAAGAAUGGCGGUGAAGAAGAGUGUCGGAUCACUGAAAGAAGCAGAUCUGAAAGGGAAGAGAGUAUUCGUCCGAGUUGAUCUCAACGUUCCAUUGGAUGAUAACUUCAAAAUCACUGAUGACACCAGAAUCCGGGCUGCUGUACCUACCAUCAAGUACUUGAUGCAAAAUGGUGCCAGAGUCAUCCUUGCCUCUCAUCUUGGUCGCCCCAAAGGUGUCACUCCAAAGUACAGCUUAAAGCCACUUGUGCCUAGACUUUCAGAACUAUUGGGAAUCGAGGUCAAGAUGGCAAAUGAUUCAGUUGGCCCAGAAGUUGAGAACUUGGUGGCUGGACUACCGGAAGGAGGAGUUGUACUUCUGGAGAAUGUGCGAUUUUACAAAGAAGAGGAGAAGAAUGACCCCGAGUUUGCCAAGAAGUUGGCAUCUCUUGCAGAUUUGUACGUCAAUGAUGCAUUUGGGACUGCUCACAGAGCCCAUGCUUCCACGGAAGGGGUUGCUAAGGUCUUGAAACCAGCCGUUGCUGGAUUCCUUAUGCAAAAGGAACUUGACUAUUUAGUUGGAGCUGUGUCAAAUCCACAGAAGCCAUUUGCUGCUAUUGUUGGUGGUUCAAAAGUAUCAAGUAAGAUUGGUGUUAUAGAGUCACUCUUGGAGAAGGUUGACGUGUUGUUGCUCGGUGGAGGAAUGAUCUUUACUUUCUACAAGGCCCAAGGUUAUGCUGUUGGAUCAUCACUAGUGGAGGAGGACAAACUUGACUUGGCAACAUCUCUCAUGGAGAAGGCAAAGACAAAAGGGGUAUCUCUAUUGCUUCCCACGGAUGUAGUGAUUGCGGACAAGUUUGCUGCUGAUGCGAACAGCAAGAUUGUUCCGGCCUCUGAAAUUCCUGAUGGCUGGAUGGGAUUAGAUAUUGGGCCUGAUGCCAUCAAGUCCUUUGGCAGUGCCUUGGAUACCACCAAGACUAUCAUUUGGAAUGGACCGAUGGGUGUGUUUGAAUUUGACAAGUUUGCUGCUGGAACGGAGGCUAUUGCAAAGAAACUGGCAGAGCUUAGUGGAAAGGGAGUGACCACCAUAAUAGGUGGUGGUGAUUCUGUAGCUGCUGUGGAGAAGGUAGGACUUGCAGAGAAGAUGAGCCACAUAUCAACUGGUGGGGGUGCUAGCUUGGAGCUUCUGGAGGGGAAACAACUUCCUGGGGUGCUUGCCCUGGAUGACGCCUAAGCAAUAUAUG
rnacentral:misc_RNA from 1 species